CUACGUGCCAGCAGCCGCGGUAAUACGUAGGGUGCGAGCGUUAAUCGGAAUUACUGGGCGUAAAGCGGGCGCAGACGGUUACUUAAGCAGGAUGUGAAAUCCCCGGGCUCAACCUGGGAACUGCGUUCUGAACUGGGUGACUAGAGUGUGUCAGAGGGAGGUAGAAUUCCACGUGUAGCAGUGAAAUGCGUAGAGAUGUGGAGGAAUACCGAUGGCGAAGGCAGCCUCCUGGGAUAACACUGACGUUCAUGCCCGAAAGCGUGGGUAGCAAACAGGAUUAGAUACCCUGGUAGUCCACGCCCUAAACGAUGUCGAUUAGCUGUUGGGCAGCAUGACUGCUUAGUAGCGAAGCUAACGCGUGAAAUCGACCGCCUGGGGAGUACGGUCGCAAGAUUAAAACUCAAAUGAAUUGACGGGGGCCCGCACAAGCGGUGGAGCAUGUGGUUUAAUUCGAUGCAACGCGAAGAACCUUACCUACUCUUGACAUCCAGAGAACAUUC
rnacentral:rRNA from 1 species